rnacentral:rRNA from 1 species
UACGGAGGGGGCGAGCGUUGUCCGGAGUUACUGGGCGUAAAGCGUGCGCAGGCGGCCCGUUAAGACAGGUGUGAAAUCCCUGGGCUCAACCUAGGAAUUGCGCUUGUGACUGGCGGGCUCGAGUACGGGAGAGGGGGGUGGAAUUCCUGGUGUAGCAGUGAAAUGCGUAGAGAUCAGGAGGAACACCGAUGGCGAAGGCAGCCCCCUGGGCCUGUACUGACGCUCAUGCACGAAAGCGUGGGGAGCAAACAGG